rnacentral:rRNA from 1 species
AGUGAACGCUGGCGGUAGGCCUAACACAUGCAAGUCGAACGGCAGCACAGUAAGAGCUUGCUCUUACGGGUGGCGAGUGGCGGACGGGUGAGGAAUACAUCGGAAUCUACUUUUUCGUGGGGGAUAACGUAGGGAAACUUACGCUAAUACCGCAUACGACCUACGGGUGAAAGCAGGGGAUCUUCGGACCUUGCGCGAUUGAAUGAGCCGAUGUCGGAUUAGCUAGUUGGCGGGGUAAAGGCCCGCCAAGGCGACGAUCCGUAGCUGGUCUGAGAGGAUGAUCAGCCACACUGGAACUGAGACACGGUCCAGACUCCUACGGGAGGCAGCAGUGGGGAAUAUUGGACAAUGGGCGCAAGCCUGAUCCAGCCAUACCGCGUGGGUGAAGAAGGCCUUCGGGUUGUAAAGCCCUUUUGUUGGGAAAGAAAAGCAGCAGGUUAAUACCCCGCUGUUCUGACGGUACCCAAAGAAUAAGCACCGGCUAACUUCG